CGUAGGGAGCAAGCGUUGUUCGGAUUUACUGGGCGUAAAGGGCGCGUAGGCGGCAAAUUAAGUCAGCUGUGAAAUCUCCGAGCUUAACUCGGAACGGUCAGCUGAUACUGAUCUGCUAGAGUGCGGAAGGGGCAAUCGGAAUUCUUGGUGUAGCGGUGAAAUGCGUAGAUAUCAAGAGGAACACCUGAGGUGAAGACGGGUUGCUGGGCCGACAUUGACGCUGAGUGCGCGAAAGCCAGGGGAGCAAACGGGAUUAGAUACCCCGGUAGUCCUGGCCUUAAACGAUGAAUACUUGGUGUCUGGAGUCUCUAUAGCUCCGGGUGCCGUCGCUAACGUUUUUAGUAUUCCGCCUGGGGGAGUACGCACGCAAGUGUG
rnacentral:rRNA from 1 species